rfam:Ipomoea nil DNA, scaffold: scaffold1525, cultivar: Tokyo-kokei standard.
GUUGCUUUGGCCGAGUGGUUAAGGCGUGUGCCUGCUAAGUACAUGGGAUUUCCCGUAAAUUUUUUAAUUAUUUGAAACAAUG